CCACUUAUUUUUAUUAUUAUUAUUAUAGUUAUUACUAUAAAUAUACCUUCUUUUCUUUUCUUUUCUUUUCUUUUAUUUUUAUUUUGGUUAACCAACCAUGUAUGUAGUAAGCACUGGUUUACAAAACUGUGUCACCUUCGUGUAUGCAUCCUGUCAUCCACAAGCUCUGAGUAACAACAGACAGAUAAAAUGAGUAAAGGAAUUCUUAAAUUAGAACUCCUUUUAAAACACUGCAUUUCAGUCAUAGUAAUAUGAUAAUGAUAAUACUCACUAUAAUGCUUAUAAUAACAGCAGAGCCUUCAGAGGUUGGCUUGCCAUGGCCAGCUGGAAGUGUCUCUCAAUGCACAACGGUGACAAGUUUUGCUCACUUUUAAUUCUUAACACAGUAGUGGCAUAAACCUAAAUAUGCCCCAAACUUUCAAGAAUCAAAGCUGCCGGAAUCAGCAUCGGUCUGUGGCUCAGCAGUGAUCCAGUGUGACUGGAUGGUUCUUCCAGUAUGCAAGGAGAGACUCUUACUCGCAGUUGAACUUUAAGAGAAAAAAAAAAAAAAGUAAAGUUCACAUCAAGUUUGUGACACUCUGGGGUGCCUUGUUGUGUCAAUGGGGUACCUGGUUUUAAGAGUGAAAAGGGUUACUUCAUUGCCAUCUACAUGACCAAAGAUGUUCUUGCCUACCUUAAAGGACAUAAUAGAAACAUCUGGUUGACUCUGCAUCUUGGUUGCUUGGCUUUUACUGAGUAAUGGAAGGAGGAGGGAAGACGACAAGAGCGGCACGUUACUGUCAUUGAAUGCAGUGAGGAUCCCUAAAGGAGAGAGUUGUAAGCAGAAGGUCUCUUGGCAAUGCAAUUAUGUAUCAGUUUUUAUAGAGAUAGCUCAAAGGAAUCUGAUUCCUCUUAAGAAGGUGAAUAGAAUGUGGGAUGGCUGAUGGGAAGGAAAGGGAAGAAUGGGAUCAUCCUGUUCCGCCCAAGGAAGGGAAGAGGGAAGGAUAGGAGUAGUGGGUGGGGAAGGUUGAAAUAAAAGCCACACUAGGAGAACCUCCAUUUCUGUUACCCACAGGAGUGAGGGAGAAGUUCUCAAGAAUGUGAAUGUGGUUUCCCUUUUUUCCUCCAUUAAUUUAGUGCUUUGGAGCAUUUUUAAAAAUAAUUUGAUCAUAUAAAUUAAUUACUUUUGCCAUAUCAGUCAAUAAAAGAGAUGAUAUUGGUGUAUUAAGUUAAUGAUACAACUUUAGAACUUCCCCUUCACUAAGUUAAGAUGUGUUUUACUUUUGAAACUGAAGUAUCAUCAUGUUAUUUUUGCUCUUUCUCUUUUCACAGGAAUUACAUGGAACGAAAGAAUAUUUAUUUUUCAGUUAAUUGCAGCCAGUGUAGUUAACUCAUUGGUACUAGGAGUGCAUUUAGACCUGGAUUGUUUACUGUGGUUUUGUUUCAUAAAUUUUAAUAGAUAACUCAAGAAGCACUUGUUCACUAGCAAGUUAAUGACUGGGGCUACAAUACCUCGCCUAUUCACUCCAUUUCAUGAAUUUUUGUGGUCUUGUAUGCUCAUUACUGUUAUUAUUGUUUGUUAUUUUAUAAUAUUAGUAAUUAUAAUGAUGAUAAUACUAAUAGCAUAAAUAACAAUGAUAAUACUACUUAGAAUCAAAGAUUCAAGGAAAGAGUAAACAGGUGAGAUCAGGAAGUUAACAACACAUGUGCACAAACAAAAUUAAAGCAGAACCACAUUGGGCAAUCAGGGAAUGUGUUCAUUUCCUAUUGUCUGUAGCAUUUGCAUAUUUUGUUAAGCAUAAUGAUCAAUUUUUUAUAUUUUUCCGUAUUUCCUUUUUUUGUCAUUUUGCUCAUUUCUUCUUGAAAACAUAGGCCAGUAAUAUCCUUGAAGUCUAUCAGGGCUUAGAAAAAAAAAUCCAGGAAAAUUGUUACUUUUUAACCAUCAGUAUUGGUGAUGCAACAAAUGAAUAAAGGAUGACAUGAAAAUAGAUUUA